GAUGAACGCUGGCGGCGUGCCUAAUACAUGCAAGUCGAGCGAACAGACGAGGAGCUUGCUCCUCUGACGUUAGCGGCGGACGGGUGAGUAACACGUGGAUAACCUACCUAUAAGACUGGGAUAACUUCGGGAAACCGGAGCUAAUACCGGAUAAUAUAUUGAACCGCAUGGUUCAAUAGUGAAAGACGGUUUUGCUGUCACUUAUAGAUGGAUCCGCGCCGCAUUAGCUAGUUGGUAAGGUAACGGCUUACCAAGGCAACGAUGCGUAGCCGACCUGAGAGGGUGAUCGGCCACACUGGAACUGAGGCACGGUCCAGACUCCUACGGGAGGCAGCAGUAGGGAAUCUUCCGCAAUGGGCGAAAGCCUGACGGAGCAACGCCGCGUGAGUGAUGAAGGUCUUCGGAUCGUAAAACUCUGUUAUUAGGGAAGAACAAAUGUGUAAGUAACUGUGCACGUCUUGACGGUACCUAAUCAGAAAGCCACGGCUAACUACGUG
rnacentral:rRNA from 1 species